AUGAACGCUGGCGGCGUGCCUAAUACAUGCAAGUCGAGCGAACAGAUGAGGAGCUUGCUCCUCUGACGUUAGCGGCGGACGGGUGAGUAACACGUGGAUAACCUACCUAUAAGACUGGGAUAACUUCGGGAAACCGGAGCUAAUACCGGAUAAUAUAUUGAGCCGCAUGGUUCAAUAGUGAAAGACGGUUUUGCUGUCACUUAUAGAUGGAUCCGCGCCGCAUUAGCUAGUUGGUAAGGUAACGGCUUACCAAGGCAACGAUGCGUAGCCGACCUGAGAGGGUGAUCGGCCACACUGGAACUGAGACACGGUCCAGACUCCUACGGGAGGCAGCAGUAGGGAAUCUUCUGCAAUGGGCGAAAGCCUGACGGAGCAACGCCGCGUGAGUGAUGAAGGUCUUCGGAUCGUAAAACUCUGUUAUUAGGGAAGAACAAAUGUGUAAGUAACUAUGCACGUCUUGACGGUACCUAAUCAGAAAGCCACGGCUAACUACGUG
rnacentral:rRNA from 1 species